CAAUGAAGUGACAAAGAAAAAUACAUUUAGGAAUUCUGUUUUGCAUCAUAAUAACAAGUAUGUAACCGUGACACACAAUAACAUAAGAACACAAGAUAUUCAGCUGACAGUGUUUGUUUAUUCAACAAGGCACAAUGAGCCACAUGAAGUAAGAAAGCUCCAACUAGAGGUGAUGAUACAUCACAACAACAACUUGUAGAUUUCUACAAGACACACUGUACUCAGAGAGAGUAAAGGAACAACUGUCUUUAUAAAAGACAAACGAUUUAAUAUAUUUGAGGACACAGUACUCACUGUCCUUUGAGAGUUUCCUCACAAAAGAAUUAAAACAUUUGCACUUUGCAAACAAAAUGAAAAACGUGUAAAAACUGAUCUUAAAACAGAUCACAUUAUUAUUAUAACCAUUAAAUUCAACUGAUUCUCAAAAUGUAAAUAUGACCUUGUCACUGGAAAACUGUGACAGUGUGACAUCAAACAAACCUUUAACACUAAAAGGAUAAACAUAUUGAUCUUAAAACAGAUCAUUGUUCAAUAAUCACAUAAAGUGAGAGAAAGUCCAUUAAGACAAAAUGUCCAUAAAAAGGACAAUUCAGAUUCUUGAUCUAAAUGAUCAUUAGUAAUCAAGAGGUAACAAAUAUCACCAAUUCAGUAUGUUUUAGUAAUAUGGAACAUGCAGUGAAUUAUAAAAGUAUCACAGGAAAAUUGUGACAUUAAUUAAACCUUUUAGGAAAAAAGGAUAAACAUUUAGAUCUUAUAACAGAUCAGUUUUAAGUGAUCACACAUUAAUGUGACUUAAUGUCCAUUAUGACAAUAUGUCCUUAAAAAGGACAGUUCAAGUUUCUGAUCAGUACGAUCAAUAACAAUCAAAAGAUAAUAUACUACCAAUACAUGAAGUACAGUGAGGUAUAAUAAUAAUUGCUGAUGCAAUCAGAUAUGUUCAUGCAACAUGCAUGACAAGAUGUUCUCUUUCUUAACAUGAAAGAUAUUGUU